AUUGAACGCUGGCGACAGGCCUAACACAUGCAAGUCGAACGAGUGGCGGACGGGUGAGUAACGUCUGGGAAACCGCCCGAUGGAGCGGGAUAACUACUGGAAACGGUAGCCAAUACCGCAUACCAUUGGAUGUGCCCAGUUGGGAUUAGCUAGUGGGUGGGGUAACGGCUCACCUAGGCGACCAUCCCUAGCUGGGCUGAGAGGAUGACCAGCCACACUGGAACUGAGACACGGUCCAGACUCCUACGGGAGGCAGCAGUGGGGAAUAUUGCACAAUGGGCGCAAGCCUGAUGCAGCCAUGCCGCGUGUGUGAAGAAGGCCUUCGGGUUGUAAAGUACUUUCAGCGAGGAGGCGUUACUCGCAGAGGAAGCACCGGCUAACUCCGUGCCAGCCGCCGCGGUAAUAC
rnacentral:rRNA from 1 species